rnacentral:rRNA from 1 species
UACGUAGGGGGCUAGCGUUGUCCGGAUUUAUUGGGCGUAAAGAGCGUGUAGGCGGCCAGAUAGGUCCGUUGUGAAAACUGGAGGCUUAACCUCCAGCUGUCGAUGGAAACCAUCUGGCUAGAGUCCGGAAGAGGAGAGUGGAAUUCCACGUGUAGCGGUGAAAUGCGUAGAGAUGUGGAGGAACACCAGUGGCGAAGGCGACUCUUUGGCCUGUAACUGACGCUGAGGCGCGAAAGCGUGGGGAGCAGACAGG